GAUGAAGAACGUAGCGAAAUGCGAUAAGUAAUGUGAAUUGCAGAAUUCAGUGAAUCAUUGAAUCAUUGAACGCACCUUGCGCUCCUUGGUAUUCCGAGGAGCAUGCCUGUUUGAGUGUCAUUAAUAUAUCAACCUUCUCUUUUUGAGUUGUUUGGAUGUGGGGGUUUGCUGGCCUCUUAAAUGAUUCAGCUCCCCUGAAAUGCAUUAGCAGAACAACCUGUUCAUUGGCGUGAUAAUUAUCUAUGCUAUUGAAUGUGAGGGCAGUUCAGCUUUCUAACCGUCCUUGGACAAUUCAUCAUUAAUGUGACCUCAAAUCAGGUAGGACUACCCGCUGAACUUAAGCAUAUCAAUAAGCGGAGGA
rnacentral:misc_RNA from 1 species